UUAUCUGAUUUAAACCAGAACACCAGAAAACAAAUUCUGUUAUCAUAUAGCAAAAAUGGCCUUAGCACAGAUACUAAAUACAUAAAUAAAAUGUUGACCUGAAUAAAACGAAUUGCUGUAACUAUUUUAGUUAAAGGAUUCUUUUAUGUGACCAAUGAAUAUCUUGAAAUAGCAGAUGAUCUCAUUAUACCUAAUUACAUAAUAUCUUUAUGCCCCCACCUCUGGGUUUAGAAGCUGCAGAUAUCUGAAUCAGCCUGUGGUCCACCAGGUGCCUGAGACCUGAUUACCUUAAUUUUCAGGAAUGAUUUAAGCCAUGAAGUGGAAGCUCAGUUAACCAGAAGAGAAAAUGGCCACUUGUGAGGAAAAUGAAGCAAUACGUAAGUGCAGAGUGGACUGUAAAAAAAGGCUUUGGCAAAUAGAAGAAAAUGUGGAAAACCGGGAAGAGCCUGCUUAUAGAGAUGAACAAGGUCUGUGAUAAUUUUAAGUGACGGCUUUUUGGCUUGUGUUGGCAUGAGUGUUACCAUGUUUU
rnacentral:lncRNA from 1 species